ensembl:ncRNA T21D9.5 ncRNA
CGACGUUUUUGAAGAAAGAAGAAGAAACGGAUUAACAAAGAGGAAACCGAUGUGAGUUGCAAAGUGGCGGAGGAUGAAUUGCAACAUGUUACUGCAUACUGAGAUACUAGAUAAUGUAGAAAUGAUAGAGUGUGAAGGAG